ACCACUGUGCCACCAGGGAAGCCCACAUGUAGCAUACUUUAAAAAAAAAACUCCCCUCUUUUACAUUUUUAUCAGAAUAACAGAUGCAUGGCUUAUAUUACAUGUUUUAAAAAAGUAUGGAUGAGGUUAUAAUGUUAUAAUAUAUUCUAUAGAUGUAAAUCAGCAUUGUAAUAAAUAUAAGGCAACAUUUUACAAACUAUUAAUUCAGAAGGAGUCACAUUACAUUAGAAUAGUUAAAAAAAAAAGUUUUUUUGAAUGAGGAGCACUUAAAUGAGUCCCUAAUAAAUGGGGUAGAUUUUUAUAGAUGGAUGAACUGGAAGAAAUGCAGUGGAUAUGACCGUCUCAUGGUCUAGAUCUUCUGAGACAGUUUUUAUUUCAAACCUGACCAUGGUCCUGCAAGUAUGGUCAUAAUUGCUAGAGCUGGUGCCCCACUUUGGGGUUUGAAAUAUGGUCAGUGUGGGCAUGAACAAGUGCAUGGAAAUGAAAUAGGGGAUGCCUAAGCGAUGAGUCAAGUGAAUCAGUGCCUGAUCAGAGCACGGAAUGGGGGUGGGUGGAACAGCAAGUAUGUGUCAUCUUCCAUCAUCCAAUUGACAGCUAUCUCUCCAUGCUCUAAGGUCCUCCCCUAUCCCCCACCCGCCUAGUAAACCAAUAUGACAUCCUGACAGUCCCAGGGGAAGAAACAUUUGCAACUGUUGGAAAUGUGAUAAAACAAGAAACAUGCAAUCAGUACGUGCAAUUGGCUGCAUAGAUUGUGAAACAAUAGUUUUGGUUUUAUUUGUUCUGUGACAGUAUAAAAAUUUCAAAUCUUUUAUAAGAUAGAAACUCUAGCCUAAGAGAGGCCCUGAGCACCAUUUCCCAGCACUGUGCUGCCAGGUCACAUUUUGCCAUUCUCCUCUCCCCGGCGCCACCUCCCCAGCCCCAUUUUCCAGCUGGUGUCUGCCCCUGGGGCACAGGACACAGGUUUUGGAGGGCAAAGCAGUUUGGUGAGGUUUUGCUCAAACACUGUAGGCUUUUUGUUUUCCUUCACUAUUAUAAUGACAAGGCACUAGAAAUAAGGUAGAAAAAUGGAGGGUGGGACUCAAGAGUAGGUAAACUAAAAGCAAAUUGGAUUGUCAGGGUUUUGUUGCUUUUUGUUUUUUGUCUUUCCAGGCUAUGAAUAAAAUGUUUAUGAACAAAGAGAAAGGUGCCUAUGAAAUACAUGAAAUAUAAAAACACGAAUCCAUUCAGAGGAAGCAUCUCCUUACAAUGAGAAGAACAUUUUAUCGUUUUUAACUUUUCUUCGGUCUUGGGUCCAAAAUUCAUCCUAAUCGUUGAAAAUUGCUGUACUUUUUAUACAAUAGGAGUGUUUAUGAGGAGCUACAUAAAAAUAUGAAUAGGAACUUCUGUCCAUGUUGAGAACCACCUUACAUUCCUUACUCAAUGGACUAACAAAGACAAAGCAGCCCAACUAAGAGUGAAAUAAUUUAAGCAACUGUGCAAAUUUGCAAGAAAGCGUGGCCAACAGAAAGCCUUCAUCCUCUGUAUUUACACUGGUACCAAUCUUAACGUCAUGCUGUUAACUCAACAUAAAGCUAUGCUUUUUAAAACAAUUCAAGGGCAUCCAAUUUAUAACCAAUCAUGUUCCAGACCUAUAAAAUAUUUCAGUAACAAUCCAAACAGGCAUAUAAGUUAAAGCUCACUCUGGGCAGCUUAAAUUUACAUGAUCAGCCUGGGACUGGCUCAUCCCAUCGCAUAGGAUCGCACGACCUCACAGUCAAGUGCAAUUCACAUCUCACGAUUCUAGGAAUCGAUGGACAUGGAUACACAGUUAUAUUAUUAUUAAAUCCAAUUGCUUUGCAAUUAACCUGAUAUGACACCUAUACAAAUGAUUCAAAUAAAGAGCCUCAUGUUUCACAGGA